GACGAACGCGGCGGCGUGCCUAAUACAUGCAAGUAGAACGCUAAAGGAGGAGCUUGCUUCUCUGGAUGAGUUGCGAACGGGUGAGUAACGCGUAGGUAACCUGCCUGGUAGCGGGGGAUAACUAUUGGAAACGAUAGCUAAUACCGCAUAAUAGUAGUUGUUGCAUGACAACUGUUUGAAAGGUGCAAUUGCAUCACUACCAGAUGGACCUGCGUUGUAUUAGCUAGUUGGUGGGGUAACGGCUCACCAAGGCGACGAUACAUAGCCGACCUGAGAGGGUGAUCGGCCACACUGGGACUGAGACACGGCCCAGACUCCUACGGGAGGCAGCAGUAGGGAAUCUUCGGCAAUGGACGGAAGUCUGACCGAGCAACGCCGCGUGAGUGAAGAAGGUUUUCGGAUCGUAAAGCUCUGUUGUAAGAGAAGAACGAGUGUGAGAGUGGAAAGUUCACACUGUGACG
rnacentral:rRNA from 1 species